rnacentral:rRNA from 1 species
GUAGGUGGGCAAGCGUUGUCCGGAAUUAUUGGGCGUAAAGCGCGCGCAGGUGGGUCUUUAAGUCUGAUGUGAAAGCCCCCGGGCUCAACCGGGGAGGGUCAUUGGAAACUGGGGAACUUGAGUGCAGGAGAGGAAAGUGGAAUUCCACGUGUAGCGGUGAAAUGCGUAGAUAUGUGGAGGAACACCAGUGGCGAAGGCGACUUUCUGGCCUGUAACUGACACUGAGGCGCGAAAGCGUGGGGAGCAAACAGGAUUAGAUACCCUGGUCGUCCACGCCGUAAACGAUGAGUGCUAAGUGUUGGGGGGGUUUCCGCCCCUCAGUGCUGCAGCUAACGCAUUAAGCACUCCGCCUGGGGAGUACGGUCGCAAGACUG